rnacentral:pre_miRNA from 1 species
AGUGGGAUUACUGGGUCAUAUGGGAAGUAUUUGUUUACUCUGUAAGAAACUGUUAAAUUGUUUUCCAGAGUGGCUGUACCAUUUUACAUUCCCAAAGCAAU